rnacentral:rRNA from 1 species
CAGCAGCCGCGGUAUACGUAGUGGCAAGCGUUGUCCGGAUUUAUUGGGCGUAAAGCGAGUGCAGGCGGCUCGAUAAGUCUGAUGUGAAAGCCUUCGGCUCAACCGGAGAAUUGCAUCAGAAACUGUCGAGCUUGAGUACAGAAGAGGAGAGUGGAACUCCAUGUGUAGCGGUGAAAUGCGUAAUAUAUUGAAGAACACCGGUGGCGAAGGCGGCUCUCUGGUCUGUUACUGACGCUGAGGCUCGAAAGCAUGGGUAGCGAACAGGAUUAAUACCCUGGUA